UACGUAGGGUGCGAGCGUUGUCCGGAAUUAUUGGGCGUAAAGAGCUCGUAGGCGGCCUGUCACGUCGGUUGUGAAAGCCCGGGGCUUAACCUCGGGUCUGCAGUCGAUACGGGCAGGCUAGAGUUCGGUAGGGGAGACUGGAAUUCCUGGUGUAGCGGUGAAAUGCGCAGAUAUCAGGAGGAACACCGGUGGCGAAGGCGGGUCUCUGGGCCGUAACUGACGCUGAGGAGCGAAAGCAUGGGGAGCGAACAGG
rnacentral:rRNA from 1 species